AGCGGCAGACGGGUGAGUAACACGUGGGUAAUCUGCCCUCGAGUGGGGAACAACCCGGGGAAACUCGGGCUAAUACCGCAUAACAUCGCGAUGUCCUUGGACGUUGCGAUCAAAGCUGGGGACCGAAAGGCCUGGCGCUUGAGGAGGAGCCCGCGCCCGAUUAGCUAGUUGGUGGGGUCAUGGCCUACCAAGGCGACGAUCGGUAGCCGGCCUGAGAGGGUGAUCGGCCACACUGGGACUGAGACACGGCCCAGACUCCUACGGGAGGCAGCAGUGAGGAAUUAUGCGCAAUGGGGGCAACCCUGACGCUGCGACGCCGCGUGGGUGAUGAAGGUCUUCGGAUCGUAAAACCCUGUCGAGAGGGGCGAAAGAGCGGGGCGUUAACACCGCUUCGCUUUGACGGUACCUCUGGAGGAAGCCCCGGCUAACUCCGUGCCAGCAGCCGCGGUAAUACGGAGGGGGCAAGCGUUGUUCGGAAUUACUGGGCGUAAAGCGCGCGUAGGCGGUUGGGUAAGUCAGAUGUGAAAGCCCCCAGCUCAACUGGGGAACUGCGUCUGAUACUGCUCGGCUUGAGUCCGAUAGGGGAUGGCAGAAUUCCCGGUGUAGCGGUGGAAUGCGUAGAUAUCGGGAGGAAUACCGAUGGCGAAGGCGGCCAUCUGGGUCGGUACUGACGCUGAGGCGCGAAAGCUAGGGGAGCAAA
rnacentral:rRNA from 1 species